GAAACUUGCCUUCAUCUGGGGCGUUUACUAAAGAGAAGUUCAGGGUAAUAAUGCAAACAUAACGAUUGAAAAAUAACACAAGAAUCAUGUUUAGGUAUAGUGACCUGGGCUCGUGGUAAGCUACUGUGCCAAGGUGAGUGAUGACACACCUUGUGUGAAAGGGGUAAAGGAGCUGAGGAAGCUAACACUUGGGGAAAAGCCAGAUGACCUUAGGUUUCCCGUGUGAACGGAGGUGAGUCAGCAGAGGGUCAGCAGUGUCAUUUGGCGGAUAGCAUACUGAAAGACACUACCCCAAGAAAAGCCUCUACAGUGUACAUGUCAGUGUCUGAUGUCUUCAUUUUCCCAUAAGAGCAAGAGUUAAGAUGGGGAAGGCAGAGAAAUCCAACUGAAGAAAGCUUUCAAAGUGGAUGGAGCAGAAAGCAUGAGCAGCAGCAUGUCAAGUUCAACCCAAGAACAACUUUGUCUGUGCUUUCACAACUAAAAUCCAAGACCAAAGCUAGUGCGGAUUUCCAGUCAGUGCUGUGCGCCAGCAGAAUGCUGUUGAUAUUCUUAUGGCUAAUGUGCCUCAAAGAGGAUCCCAUUAGUUUUCCGAACUGUAGAAUUCUCCACGGUUGACACUUUCUCACUGAACUCUCACGAUUGUUUGGUUUCAAAGUCUGUUGGGCUCAAGAUGCAUUUUGUUUUAAAUAAUCCUUCAUGAAAAAUUCAGCUUGCAGUCUGAUUUGAUUGAAACUCAGCCCGAGUUUGUUUUAUAAUGCAUUUGGACUGGGAAGCCUACGAGCAGUGAAUUAUUCAAGACAUACAGACAAAUGAGGGAUCUGUGCUCACACAUGGGGAGGGGUGAUCAAAAAAUAAGAAAAAUUUGACAUGUCUUGUUAUCUUAUUUUAUUUACCUUUAAAACUCCUCCAAAUAUUAGAGGAAAGAAACCAGUCUUCACCUCUGUCAGGUUCUG
rnacentral:lncRNA from 1 species